rnacentral:rRNA from 1 species
AUUGAACGCUGGCGGCAGGCCUAACACAUGCAAGUCGAACGAGUGGCGGACGGGUGAGUAAUAUAUGGGAAAAUGCCUGAUGGCGGGGGAUAACUACUGGAAACGGUAGCUAAUACCGCAUACCAUCGGAUGUGCCCAGAUGGGAUUAGCUAGUCGGGGGGGUAAAGGCUCACCAAGGCAACGAUCCCUAGCUGGUCUGAGAGGACGACCAGCCACACUGGGACGGAGACACGGUCCAGACUCCUACGGGAGGCAGCAGUGGGGAAUAUUGCACAAUGGGCGCAAGCCUGAUGCAGCCAUGCCGCGUGUAUGAAGAAGGCCUUCGGGUUGUAAAGUACUUUUAGCGGGGAGGCGUUACCCGCAGAAGAAGCACCGGCUAACUCCGUGCCAGCCGCCGCGGUAAUAC